rnacentral:rRNA from 1 species
CAGUAGCCACGGGAAUACAGAGGGUGCGAGCGUUAAUCGGAUUUACUGGGCGUAAAGCGUGCGUAGGCGGCUUUUUAAGUCGGAUGUGAAAUCCCUGAGCUUAACUUAGGAAUUGCAUUCGAUACUGGGAAGCUAGAGUAUGGGAGAGGAUGGUAGAAUUCCAGGUGUAGCGGUGAAAUGCGUAGAGAUCUGGAGGAAUACCGAUGGCGAAGGCAGCCAUCUGGCCUAAUACUGACGCUGAGGUACGAAAGCAUGGGGAGCAAACAGGAUUAGAUACCCGCGUAGUCCCUGUCUCUUAUAC